rnacentral:sRNA from 2 species
UUAUAGUAAGAGCUGAAUCCAAAUCCUGUACUUUGGAGCGGGGGAUUAUUUUGGGGUGAAUCACGUUGUCUUUUCACGUGUAGGGCUUACACCUGCUGCCCGAAUCCGUCAACUAACCUCGUAAGCUAAGAAAGGUGGACAA